rnacentral:rRNA from 1 species
AUUGAACGCUGGCGGCAUGCUUUACACAUGCAAGUCGAACGGUAACAGGGAGCUUGCUCCGCUGACGAGUGGCGAACGGGUGAGUAAUGCGUCGGAACGUGCCGAGUAGUGGGGGAUAACGCAUCGAAAGGUGUGCUAAUACCGCAUACGAACUGAGGUUGAAAGUGGGGGACCUUCGGGCCUCACGCUAUUCGAGCGGCCGACGUCUGAUUAGCUAGUUGGUAAGGUAAAGGCUCACCAAGGCGACGAUCAGUAGCGGGUCUGAGAGGAUGAUCCGCAACACUGGGGCUGAGACACGGCCCAGACUCCUACGGGAGGCAGCAGUGGGGAAUUUUGGACAAUGGGCGCAAGCCUGAUCCAGCCAUGCCGCGUGUCUGAAGAAGGCCUUCGGGUUGUAAAGGACUUUUGUCCGGGAGCAAAUGCUGGUGGCUAACAUCCACCGGAGCUGAGAGUACCGGAAGAAUAAGCACCGGCUAACUACGUGCCAGCCGCCGCCGUAACAC